GUGGUGCCGCACUCGUCUGCUCUGAGAAAAUAUGUCGGCCUAUUCGGGUCUCGCAGGCGCGUUUCAAUGCUUGUCGGCUUGAACUUCACCAGGACGCCGACUCAUUCCUUGUCUCCUAGCACGUGAUGGCCUCCGAAAAGCCUGUGUGUCAUGUUAUAGUUGCGUGUUUGUAACUGCCUGGGAGUUACAGCGGGGACUGUUGGUUGAACGGCGUUACCUCUGCUGCGACACAUGAUACGCGGCGGGCGAGGGCAAGGACUUCACGAAAAUGUUUCGUCUCGAGUCAUCAUAACGUCGAGGAAAUGAUGGACACUUUGGUGGCGAGAUCCAGAUCCCCGAGCUUCUUACUUUGUAAGACAAGCCUUCGACUACACUUGCCUACCCCCUGCUGACCGGUAGUUUCUUGUCUCAUUGGGGAUUGCAAGGGCCCCAGCCACUUCGAUUUUGCGAGUUUUGUACCAUGCCAGCUCUGGUGCGCGCGAGAGUUCUGGUUGGUCUUGCUUCAGAAAUACGUGCGUGCACUAAAGCACAGGCCGAGACCGAUCCCAGCCGCACCUGCUCACAUGGACCAAGAUUCAAUUGCAGCGGUGAUCGUGAGCAAAGGUGAGGCAGUCCGCGACUGCAGGCCCUGACUGGCCCGCCUAAAUUCAGCCACAACGACCACCGUCAAUGGUGGUUUGUGGUGGAGCUGGCCGUGCCUCUUAACUGCGCUCUUCUUUGUGGGAAAUGACUGGAACGAGGUGCAGUCUUUUGUUGGGAAGCUGUUCGGAUGACUUCGCCUUCCUGUCGUUUCGGAAUAUGGAUGAAGAUGUCUGCCUCAUUUACAGCGCUGGCCCACGUGGAUGCAUUAA